rnacentral:ncRNA from 2 species
UAUCACAGUCCUGCUUAGGUGACG